rnacentral:rRNA from 1 species
AUGAACGUUGGCGGCGUGGAUUAGGCAUGCAAGUCGCACGGGCCCGGCUUCGGCCGGGCCAGUGGCGGAAGGGUGAGUAAGGCGACGGCAACCAACCCCGAGGUCGGGUAUAGCCGCGGGAAACUGCGGGUAAUCCCCGGCGACGUGAGGGCGUCGGCAUCGACGCUUCACCAAAGGCGCAAGCCGCCUCGGGACGGGCCGUCGUGGUAUUAGGUCGUUGGCGGGGUUACGGCCCACCAAGCCUGUGAUGCCUACCGGGCGUGCGGGCGUGGCCCGGCACACUGGGACUGAGACACUGCCCAGACUCCUACGGGAGGCUGCAGUCGAGAAUCUUCGGCAAUGGGCGCAAGCCUGACCGAGCGACGCCGCGUGGAGGACGAAGGCCUUCGGGUUGUAAACUCCUGUCGAGGGGGAGGAAGGGGAAACCUUGACCGAUCCCUGGAGGAAGCACGGGCUAAGUUCGU